UUCUGCAGCUCUAACAUCAUAAAACUCUAUAUAUUUGUGAUGGCUUCUAUGCUGAGUCUCGCGGAUCUCCUUAAUCUCCCCAUAUACACCAAAUAUUUGUCGAAGUUCAUCAUUUGAAACAGAGGAAUCAAGGUUGAAAACCAGGAGAGUCCCUUGGUUGGCAUUUUUUUCUGAUGGAUUGUCCUUGGGAAUAGAGAAAUGUAUGUCUAGCUUCCUGCGUCUCAGUGGAUUGUUCUGAAGAGCUUUCAUGGCAUUCUGUGAUGCUCGAAUAUCAUAAUAAGAUAUCAUAACAAAACCGCGAUGUUUGCAUGCUGUAUAUAGCGUGCGA
rnacentral:misc_RNA from 1 species